rnacentral:lncRNA from 1 species
AUGAUCAAAGGCAUAGAUCUAACGGUAAAAUAUUUACAAGCACCAAAUGCUUAGUGCUUUUACAAGCAUCAUAGCCGGACUCUAUAUAUAUAUAUAUAUAUAUAGAGUUGAGCUAGAAUACUCUCAAAAGCACAAAAGGGGUGGUGUCUUUGAGUUUAUAGCCAUUGGAUGGAGAAAUGUGGGGUUGAAAUGAUGGUAGUCAGGUGGUGGUAGGUGGAAUAAUAUUUGAUCCAAAGGCUAUUAGUAAUCAAGAGGUAGAUCCAAGGGCUAGAAACUUAGAAGCACCAACGGAUUGGUGCUUCUAAAAGUAUUCUAGCUCAAUUCUAUAUAUAUAUAUAUAUAUAUAUAUAUAUAUAUAGAGAGAGAGAGAGAGAGAGAGAGGGAGAGAGAGAGAGAGAGAGAGAGAGAGAGAGAGCUAGACUCCUCUGUUUUCGAUAGUACGGGGGCCUCCGUACUUGUACGUUGUUUUCGAUGAUGAGACGUCCGAUU